rnacentral:tRNA from 1 species
UCCCUGGAGGACUAGUGGUUAGGCCGCAGCACCCUCAAUGCUGCAGCCUGGGUUCGAUUCCUGGCCAGAGUG